rnacentral:lncRNA from 1 species
CUUUCCACAUUUCCCUUUUUCUCCUUUUCCACCUCACUUUCUCUUUGUCAAAAACUCAUGAGAAGCGGUGUGAAAUCUCAGGAUUAGCUCUGUAUCAACUGUCAGGAGACCUGACUUUCUUUGAUUUUGCAAUCAUCACGCUUUAUAGAAACCUGAGAUACCAGCUGGCCAUGUACAGUGUAUUGUUAAGAGAACUGGCAUAAAUUAUAAUGGCUGGGAUAACCAAACCUGAUUUCCAAGGAUUGAGCAGGAAAGUAUAAGAGGA